UUGAUCCUGCCAGUAGUCCAUAUGCUUGUCUCAAAGAUUAAGCCAUAUAUGUGUAAAUAUGAACUAAUUCAAAAUGUGAAACUACAAAUGGCUCAUUAAAUCAGUUAUAGUUUGUUUGAUGUUACCUGCUACUCGAAUAACCAUAGUAAUUCUAGAGCUAAUACAUGCAACGAACACCGACUUUUGGAUGGGAUGCAUUUACUAGAUAAAAGGCCGACGCGGGCUCUGUUUGCUGCUCUACUGAUUCAUGAUAACUCGAGGGAUCGCACGACCAUCAUGUCAGUGACGCAUCAUUCAAAUUUCUGUCCUAUCAACUUUCGAUGGUAGGAUAGUGGCCUACUAUGGUGGUGACGGGUGACGGGUGACGGAGAAUUAAGGUUUGAUUUUGGAGAAGGAGCUUAAGAAACGGCUACCACAUCCAAGGAAGGCAAUAGGCGUGCAAAUUACCCAAUCCUGACACAGGGAGGUAAUGACAAUAAAUAACAAUACCAGGCUCUCAUGAGUUUGGUAAUUAGAAUAAGUACAAUUUAAAUCCCUUAACAAGGAUCCAUUAGAAGGCAAGUCUGGUGCUUGCAACUGCAGUAAUUCUAGCUCCAAUAGCGUAUAUUUAAGUUAUUGCAGUUAAAAAGCUCAUAGUUGAAACUUGGGUUGGGCAGAGCUGUCCACCACUAGUGUGCACCAGUCUGCUCGUCCUUCUACCGGCGAUGUGCUCCUGGCCUUAACUGGUCAGGUCGUGCCUCUGGUGUUGUUACUUUGAAGAAAUUAGAGUGCUCAAAGCAAGCCUACACUCUGGAUACAUUAGCAUAGGAUAACAUCAUAGGAUUUCAGUCCUAUUCUGUUGGCCUUUGAGAUCAGAGUAAUGAUUAACAGGGACAGUCAAGGGCAAUCGUAUUUCAUAGUCAGAGGUGAAAUUCUUGGAUUUAUGAAAGACAAACAACUGCGAAAACAUUUUCCAAUGAUGUUUUCAUUAAUCAAGAACAAAAGUUGGGGGCUCGAAGACAAUCAAAUACCCGAUGCCGACCAAGGAUCGGUGGAUGUUACUUAUAGGACUCCACUGACACCUUAUAAGAAAUCAAAAUCUUUAGGCUUCGGGGGGAGUAUGGUCACAAGGCUAAAACUUAAAGGAAUUGACGAAAGGGCACUACUAGGAGUGGAGCUUGCGGCUUAAUUUGACUCAACAUGGGGAAACUUACCAGGUCCAGACAUAGUAAGGAUUGACAAACUGAAAGCUCCUUCUUGAUUCUAUGGGUAGUGGUGCAUGUCCGUUCUUAGUUGGUGGAGUGAUUUGUUUGGUUAAUUCCGUUAACGAAUAAGGCUUCCACCUGCAUAGGAUAACAUCAUAGGAUUUCAGUCCUAUUCUGUUGGCCUUUGAGAUCAGAGUAAUGAUUAACAGGGACAGUCAAGGGCAAUUGUAUUUCAUAGUUAGAGGUGAAAUUCUUGGAUUUAUAAAAGACGAACAACUGCGAAAACAUUUUCCAAUGAUGUUUUCAUUAAUCAAGAACAAAAGUUGGGGGCUCGAAGACAAUCAGAUACCCGAUGCCGACCAAGGAUUGGUGGAUGUUACUUAUAGGACUCUACGGACACCUUAUAAGAAAUCAAAAUCUUUAGGUUCCGGGGGGAGUAUGGUCACAAGGCUAAAACUUAAAGGAAUUGACGAAAGGGCACUACUAGGAGUGGAGCCUGCGGCUUAAUUUGACUCAACAUGGGGAAACUUACCAAGUCCAGACAUAGUAAGGAUUGACAAACUGAAAG
rnacentral:rRNA from 1 species